GUUACGGCCUUGGAGGCAACGACCCCAAUGUCAGCUUCAAAAGCUACUCCGGCGAUAACACCACUUUCAAAGAAUACGCCAAGUCCGGAGUCAACUUCAAGACGUACAAGAACACCUCCGUGGUCCCCGCUGCCGAUGCUGGCAGCAUCGGCAGCAGCGAGCACCUGGCAGCGAAGGUGGGGACAAUGAGCCGGUGGGUGGUGGAGCCGGGGAAAUUCUUUCGGGAGAGCAGCAUGAAGAAGGGGACGGUGAUGCCGAUGCCGGAUAUCCGCGACAAGAUGCCGGCGAGGUCGUUUCUCCCUCGCUCGAUCUCCGAUCGGAUCCCGUCCUCCGCCGACGAGGUUCGGCGGGUGUUUAACCUCCCAGCAGACACCGCAUUGGGGAAGGCGGUGGAGGAUACAUUGGCGGAGUGCGCGCGAGCCCCCAGCAAGGGAGAAACAAAGAAGUGUGCAAUGUCAGCCGAGGACGUGAUCGACUUCGCCGAGUCAGUGCUGGGCGACGGCGCGGUGGUGAGGAGCACCGAGAGCGCGAGGGGUUCAGGGGGGAACGUGGCA
rnacentral:misc_RNA from 1 species